CCUCUGCACAGCAGGUUUUGCUAAAGCUCCCCCAUGGACCUGUGUGAAGUAACACAGUUCUGAGAGAGGUUCCUGUUGAGAAAAACAGGGACUUGACACGGCGAUUAGCUGUGAUCUGGAGUCCAUCCUGGUGCCACGCGAUCUGUUCCCCUGCAGCACCACCACAGGGAAAAUAAAGCAUUCCGAACCAGGAAUUUCUGCCAAAAAUUAGACGUGAACACAAGAGCAUUAACAACUUGAAGUCUGCAAUUUAAAAUAGAGAUAUACAGUAAAGGUCACGAUGUUCUCGGUAAUGGCGAUAAAUACAGUGCAGCUUGUAGGACCCAAUCUGUACGUGUUCUGAACAUGUCCGGCUCCUCACAAUUAUCAUUAAUAAUUUUAUUCCGAUACAGUAAAAAAAUGUAUAAUGUGUAUAGUUAUUGUGUAAUAU